AUAGCUCAAGAGAUUUGCACCUACUUGAAUGUCUAACUUUAUCCUUAAUCUCAUUAAUCAAGAGAUAGCUCAAGAGAUUUGCACCUACUCUCUUAGGAUUUAGCCAUUUUCCCUAAAUGUUUUGGUUGCCUUAGUAUUAGGGACAUCCAUCUUACCAAGUUUACUCUUCAAUCUAAAUGCAUUGCUUAAUACCUCAAUAGGAAAGAUUCUAUCAAGGGUAAAUGUGGUUUCUGUCAAAUAUAUAGGGUGACUCCUUGGGAUGAUAAGGUUUGCACCAACAUUAAUCGGAGAUGGAGACUUUUU
rnacentral:lncRNA from 1 species